UGGGGAAUAUUGCGCAAUGGGCGAAAGCCUGACGCAGCGACGCCGCGUGGGUGAAGAAGGCCUGCGGGUUGUAAAGCCCUUUCGGUGGGGAAGAAAAGCCUCGACCUAACACGUCGGGGUCUUGACGUAACCCAUAGAAGAAGCACCGGCUAACUCUGUGCCAGCAGCCGCGGUAAUACAGAGGGUGCGAGCGUUAAUCGGAAUUACUGGGCGUAAAGCGCGCGUAGGCGGCUUUGCAAGUCGGGUGUGAAAUCCCCAGGCUUAACCUGGGAACUGCAUUCGAGACUGCAUUGCUAGAGUAUGGGAGAGGGAAGUGGAAUUUCCGGUGUAGCGGUGAAAUGCGUAGAUAUCGGAAGGAACAUCAGUGGCGAAAGCGACUUCCUGGACCAAUACUGACGCUCAUGUGCGAAAGCGUGGGGAGCAAACAGGAUUAGAUACCCCCGUAGUCCCUGAGCGGGCUGGCAAGGCGCAU
rnacentral:rRNA from 1 species